rnacentral:rRNA from 1 species
GAUUGUCCUUUGGACAAUGGUAGGAGAGCGUUCUAAGGGCGUUGAAGCAUGAUCGUAAGGACAUGUGGAGCGCUUAGAAGUGAGAAUGCCGGUGUGAGUAGCGAAAGACGGGUGAGAAUCCCGUCCACCGAUUGACUAAGGUUUCCAGAGGAAGGCUCGUCCGCUCUGGGUUAGUCGGGUCCUAAGCUGAGGCCGACAGGCGUAGGCGAUGGAUAACAGGUUGAUAUUCCUGUACCACCUAUAAUCGUUUUAAUCGAUGGGGGGACGCAGUAGGAUAGGCGAAGCGUGCGAUUGGAUUGCACGUCUAAGCAGUAAGGCUGAGUAUUAGGCAAAUCCGGUACUCGUUAAGGCUGAGCUGUGAUGGGGAGAAGACAUUGUGUCUUCGAGUCGUUGAUUUCACACUGCCGAGAAAAGCCUCUAGAUAGAAAAUAGGUGCCCGUACCGCAAACCGACACAGGUAGUCAAGAUGAGAAUUCUAAGGUGAGCGAGCGAACUCUCGUUAAGGAACUCGGCAAAAUGACCCCGUAACUUCGGGAGAAGGGGUGCUCUUUAGGGUUAACGCCCAGAAGAGCCGCAGUGAAUAGGCCCAAGCGACUGUUUAUCAAAAACACAGGUCUCUGCUAAACCGUAAGGUGAUGUAUAGGGGCUGACGCCUGCCCGGUGCUGGAAG